GAUGAACGCUGGCGGCGUGCUUAACACAUGCAAGUCGAACGGAAAGGCCACAGCUUGCUGUGGUACUCGAGUGGCGAACGGGUGAGUAACACGUGGGUGAUCUGCCCUGUACUUCGGGAUAAGCUUGGGAAACUGGGUCUAAUACCGGAUAGGAAUCACAUGUGGGUGUGUGGUUGGAAAGCUUUUGCGGUAUGGGAUGAGCUCGCGGCCUAUCAGCUUGUUGGUGGGGUAAUGGCCUACCAAGGCGUCGACGGGUAGCCGGCCUGAGAGGGUGUACGGCCCCAUGGGGACUGAGAUACGGCCCAGACUCCUCGGGGGGGGAGGAGGGGGGAAUAUUGCACAAGGGGCGCAAGCCUGUUGCAGCGACGCCGGGGGGGGGAUGACGGCCUUCGGGUUGUAACCUCCUUUCGUAAGGGACGAAGCGAAAGUGACGGUACCGGGAUAAGAAGCACCGGCUAACUACGU
rnacentral:rRNA from 1 species